rnacentral:lncRNA from 1 species
GAGGUUCGUUUCAAAAGAAUGUUAAUAAUAUAAUAAUAUUAAUAAAAAUAAAAUAAAUUAAUAUAUUAAAAUAAUAAUAAUAAUAAAAUCGAGGAUUUUGAAUUAAAGUGCAAUAAAAAAUAUCUUAUUUAUUUUAGUAUUCGAUAUUACAUUACACAUAUCACAACGAGUAAGUUAAAAUAAUUUUUUUUACGAUGUUGUCAAAAAAAAUUGAAAAGCUUGUUUUUAUAUAGGGAUAAUUGCCUAUAUAUCCCUCAAAACUUCAGAAAUAUCUAAUUUAUCCUUAUAUUUUUUUUUCGUUUCUAAUAUACUCUUCGUAUGUUCAUCCAUUAUUCAAAAAUAUCCCUACAGUUACUACCUGUUAAGUGAUCUCGGGUUAAACGUGAAUUACAUGUCUAUCCGAGUUAAAAAAGAAAAUCAAAAUACCUCUUUUGCCCUUAACUUAAGAUCAAAUAAGAAAAAAUUAUGAUAAUAGAAGGGUACAUUUGAAAAGACUAAAAAUUAAAAUACUUCUUUUGCUUCUAACUGAAGGGCAAAUAAGAAAAAACUGUGACGGUAGAAGAGUAUACUAGAAAAGGCAACUUAGUAAUUUUACAGAGAUAACGACUAUUGCUAACAGUUCACUAACAAAAUUUAACUUUAGAGGGGUAUAUUUGAAAUAACUUAAAACAUAAAAAGAGUAUUUUUAAUAUUAGCCGUCUAAGAGAGAUAAAUCAGAAAGUCGAGAACUUUUUAGAAAUAUAUAAGUAAUUGCCCUUUUUAUAGACUUUCCUAAACUUUAUUUCAAAACAAUCCUAUAAAAUUUUUUAAUUAGGUAAAUAAUCCUAUGAAAAUUUUUUUGGCAGACUAACCUUUCUCUUGUUAUAUAAGAGUCGCGUUGGAAUUUUCUGAAGGACGAUAAAUGAUUCAUCGCCUUCAUAGAGACGGUAAACGAUUCACUGCCCUUCUUAAUUUUUCACAAAAAAAGUGAAUCAUUCACCGUCUUUCGCUUAUUUACUAUUCCUUUCUAUAUCCCAUAUAUAAUUCUAAUAACUAUAUAAAAAUUUCAACCAAUCACAUAUAAUCUUAUUAACAACCUAUAAUCUUAUUAACAAUCUGAAAAUUCUAAUAACCUAUCCAUACAACCGUAACAAUCAAAUAAAAACUCUAAUAAUCCACGUAUAAUUGUUAACCAUUUUAAUGAAUGCGGUGAACGAUUCACCGUCUCUAAAAUAUCUAGGACACUUUCAGAAUGCCGUGAACGAUUCAUCGCGUUUCGGAGAUAAAUCCUACGUAGCUCCUAUACGGCGAAGAGAGAAUUAGUUUGCUAAAUAUAAAUUUAGUAGGGUUAUUUUAUAAAUUAUAAAACUUUAGAGGGUUAUUUUGUAAAAAAAU